rnacentral:lncRNA from 1 species
CAUUUAUAGAAGGACCAAGGGCUGCAGCUUGUCCUGCAGUCCUGACAGAGAUCAAGCUGUUACAAGGUUGGACAGAUAAAUAGAGUUGGAAAAGAAGGCUUUUUCUUUCCUCUGAGACCGAACUGAUCAAACAUUGCUAAAGGC